CUCUUUAACUGAUAAAGUCACGCUGUGGUUCUGCGUCACAGUAAAGAGGUUUGAUGUUGCACUUUACAUCACCAUGAACACCGAGGGCAAGAGGACAGAGAGACCGGGGAAAAAACCAAACAAACCCGGGCAGCAGAAAAGUCUGCGUUCAUUCACUUUCUGUUUUUUUAAAUAAAUACAUGCAGAUGAAAUGUUCAAAACAGAUUUUGGCUUUAAAACAAUAACCAUUACAAAAAAUCUGUCUAUUUCUUCAUGUUUUUCAUCAUUUCAGCUUCAUUUUGGGGCUGAAAUUAACAAACAGCCGCGAACGAGCCGGACGUGUCGCGUGGAUCACGGUGAAGGAACACGACAUGACGACUGAAAAACUUACUCUCAGGCAGUGUGAGAGGAGAACCAGGUUCAUAAACAGGCAGGAAUCAGGCCAUGAGCAACCAGAGCAAAGAGGGAAAAACACAAAGACACAAAGACAUGAAGCAGGAAGCAGGAAGCAGAAAGCAGGAUAAUAAGUGUGAGGUAAACACACAGAAAUGUGUCUCAGUAUCUCCGGGACACUGAACAUUUACCUCACAGUGACUACAGGAACUGAAGGAGCUUAAAUGCCGUGACUGUGAGUGGUGUGUGAUGGAGUUCAGGUGUGUGUAAUUAGCAGUAUGGUGGACUUGAGCAGGUGAGUGUGUGUUGGGUGUUGUAGUCCAUGGCGGCCGUGUCUGUAGGCCGUGGUGCACUCUGGGAGAUGUGGUUGCUAGCGGCCAUGUUUGUAGGCUGCUCUGUGUUUCAGGGAAUUGGAGAGCAACAACAGAAACAUGGCAGAAAAAAGCUGA